rnacentral:rRNA from 1 species
CCUACGGGGGGCUGCAGUGGGGAAUAUUGGACAAUGGGGGCAACCCUGAUCCAGCCAUGCCGCGUGUGUGAAGAAGGCCCUCGGGUUGUAAAGCACUUUCAGUGAGGAAGAACGCCUGGUGGUUAAUACCCAUCAGGAAAGACAUCACUCACAGAAGAAGCACCGGCUAACUCCGUGCCAGCAGCCGCGGUAAUACGGAGGGUGCGAGCGUUAAUCGGAAUUACUGGGCGUAAAGCGCGCGUAGGUGGCUUGAUUAGCCGGUUGUGAAAGCCCCGGGCUCAACCUGGGAACGGCAUCCGGAACUGUCAAGCUAGAGUGCAGGAGAGGAAGGUAGAAUUCCCGGUGUAGCGGUGAAAUGCGUAGAGAUCGGGAGGAAUACCAGUGGCGAAGGCGGCCUUCUGGACUGACACUGACACUGAGGUGCGAAAGCGUGGGUAGCAAACAGGAUUAGAUACCCUAGUAGUC